GAUGAACGCUGGCGGCGUGCCUAAUACAUGCAAGUCGAGCGAACAGACGAGGAGCUUGCUCCUCUGACGUUAGCGGCGGACGGGUGAGUAACACGUGGAUAACCUACCUAUAAGACUGGGAUAACUUCGGGAAACCGGAGCUAAUACCGGAUAAUAUAUUGAACCGCAUGGUUCAAUAGUGAAAGACGGUUUUGCUGUCACUUAUAGAUGGAUCCGCGCCGCAUUAGCUAGUUGGUAAGGUAACGGCUUAUCAAGGCAACGAUGCGUAGCCGACCUGAGAGGGUGAUCGGCCACACUGGAACUGAGACACGGUCCAGACUCCUACGGGAGGCAGCAGUAGGGAAUCUUCCGCAAUGGGCGAAAGCCUGACGGAGCAACGCCGCGUGAGUGAGGAAGGUCUUCGGAUCGUAAAACUCUGUUAUUAGGGAAGAACAAAUGUGUAAGUAACGAUGCACGUCUUGACGGUACCUAAGCAGAAAGCCACGGCUAACUACGU
rnacentral:rRNA from 1 species